CACGUAGGGGACGAGCGUUGUCCGGAUUCAUUGGGCGUAAAGAGCUCGUAGGCGGCUUGUUGCGUCGACCGUGAAAACCCGGGGCUCAACUUCGGGCUUGCGGUCGAUACGGGCGGGCUAGAGUUCGGUAGGGGAGACUGGAAUUCCUGGUGUAGCGGUGAAAUGCGCAGAUAUCAGGAGGAACACCGGUGGCGAAGGCGGGUCUCUGGGCCGAUACUGACGCUGAGGAGCGAAAGCGUGGGGAGCGAACAGG
rnacentral:rRNA from 1 species